rnacentral:lncRNA from 1 species
AGUUGACGUGGAGCAGGCGGCAUAAAUCAAGUCCGCGGGGCAUGGAGGCUGCUGUCGCUGCAGCAGCUCAGCUUGCCCGGGGCGGGAACUCCCCCUUUCUCCUUUCGCCUCCCCAGCACCCACACCCUGUCUCCCCCUUAAUUCUUCCCUGGAUAAUAGCACCCUAACGACAACAGUCAUAAUAAUAGGGUUAGAACGACAGGGGAGGAAAACUCAACAGCCUAAAUAUCUCUGAAAACUGCAUCGCAAAAUGGAAGAAAGAGGGGGUCCCACUACUGUUUCAAAAGAGUAAGUUAUUAUUCGGAUCGACAGAACUUGACUUAGAAAGCUGGCACACAGCUUCACGGAAGCAGCUUCUAGAGGAAUGCUAUCCAACAUAACUUUCUGUGAUGACAGAAAUGUACUACAGCUGCCUUGUCCAAUAAGGAGCCAUGGAAGUCAAAUGCUGAGGAUGGUGGCAUCAUAGGAUGAAUGGAGCUGGGUUCUUGAAACACUGCCUGGAGGAAAGACAGCAAAAAUGCCUCAUGAAUCCAACUGGACUGUUAGGAUGCUCACC